AGGUUUGAACCAGUGGCAGUAUCAUAGCCAAUGAGGUUUAUCCGAGGCGCGAUUAUUGCUAAUUGAACCAGACAGAGUCACAAGGUCAUGGCAAAUUCUUCCCAUCAUCGCGUAAAUUUUCAAACAGAACAUGGGAUUCU